GACGAACGCUGGCGGCGUGCUUAACACAUGCAAAUCGAACGGAAAGGCCCUGCUUGCAGGGUACUCGAGUGGCGAACGGGUGAGUAACACGUGGGUGAUCUGCCCUGCACUUCGGGAUAAGCCUGGGAAACUGGGUCUAAUACCGGAUAGGAGCCAUUUUUAGUGUGAUGGUUGGAAAGUUUUUUCGGUGUAGGAUGAGCUCGCGGCCUAUCAGCUUGUUGGUGGGGUAAUGGCCUACCAAGGCGGCGACGGGUAGCCGGCCUGAGAGGGUGGACGGCCACAUUGGGACUGAGAUACGGCCCAGACUCCUACGGGAGGCAGCAGUGGGGAAUAUUGCACAAUGGGCGCAAGCCUGAUGCAGCGACGCCGCGUGGGGGAUGACGGCCUUCGGGUUGUAAACUCCUUUCGCUAGGGACGAAGCUUUUUGUGACGGUACCUAGAUAAGAAGCACCGGCCAACUACGUG
rnacentral:rRNA from 1 species